UUUUGAAGGUGUUGAUACUUUUUUAUUACUUUACACACCUUUUUAAACCUUGAAAUACACUAUACGUUUGCAUUUCCUGUUGUGCAGGAAAUUUCCUGCAACAUCCGAGUGAUCAAAUUAAGAUCCUACAUCUGUAGUUAGCAUUGUGUACUGUACCAGGCAGUUACCAAUUGUGUUUGAGUUCUUCGAAGUAUGUUAAUGUCAGUUCAUGAACCCCUCAGACUUCAUACGCAUCCCAAAUGGCCUCCUAUUCCCUACCAAAAGUAGUGCUCUACAUAGGGAAUAGGGGACCAUUUAGGGUAUAAUAUAGAGUGCCAUUUUGGACACUUCCAACACAUUGUUUAGUUUGGCGUACCAUCUCAUCUGUUAAAUAGAUUAUGCUGUAUCUAGUACUGAGCGAUUAGUCCUUUUUGAGGUCGGUUCAGUUUCGAUUCGAUUAUUAAAAAAAGAAUCACGUUUUUCAAUUUCUUUCAUAAAAAAUUCUAAAUGUGCUAUGCAUUAUGUGGGUUGAAUGCUGUAACACAGAAUAAAACAAUUAACAGCAGUCACAUUACUUUAAAUCUCUUAAAGGAACCAACCCUUUUUUUCAACAAAUGUGUUUUAUUUGAUGACUUUAUUAUUUAAUUCCAAGUCAACAUCUCAUCUCUAUAGAGUUACUAGAGUUACUGCCUAUGCUGUUUGACAAAAUCACUAUUUUAGUAUUUUUUCAAAUAUGGUAAAUAUGGCAUACUUUUAUGACUGCUGAAUAUCUAAAAUCAUGUAUUUUCAGGCUCGCUAAACUUUCUAUUCCUCGAUCGGUGCUUUUCUCUCUUCUCUCAGCGGGCGCGCAAUGGAUUAUAGUCAUUGUAGUUAAUUACCAAGUUUUCUGCGGUAAACUAUGUACAAUGUUGGCCUGGUGGAAAUUACAACUCCCUACUACAUCUCACAGUUCAGGAUUGAUCUAAUUUAUCUCUACAUUUAGAAAAAAACUCCACAUCUAGCUAAAAAAAUAAAACAUUUAGUUGAUUUAUCCAGUUGGCAUUCUGUCAUUUCCACCAAUUCUGCUCUCACUAAAAAUGAUCUCAGAACUGUAUUUUGUAUACAUUUCAGGAAAAUACAAGACGUUGCCCAAUUUGUAUAAAAAUAAAUGUGUUGGUUACAUCAUUCUGUCAACCCUCCUAAAACAUACUGUAAUGAUGGUGUGUAGUAAGCACUUUCUUAGAGUACUGUAACAUCCAGGUCCCUUUUUAUUGGUCAACAGGGUUCUCUGAACCGGACAAACUAUAACAUCCAGGUCCCUUUUUAUUGGUCAACAGGGUUCUCUGAACCUGCCAAGAUGUAACAUCCAGGACCCUUUUUAUUGGUCAACAGGGUUCUCUGAACCUGACAAACUAUAACAUCCAGGUCCCUUUUUAUUGGUCAACAUGGUUCUCUGAACCUGACAAACUAUAACAUCCAGGUCCCUUUUUAUUGGUCAACAUGGUUCUCUGAACCUGACAAACUAUAACAUCCAGGUCCCUUUUUAUUGGUCAACAUGGUUCUCUGAACCUGACAAACUGUAACAUCCAGGUGAGUUAGGAGAAAGCCGACUCCUCCCCCGGAGGAAGGCUGUUGUCUUUUUGCAGUUUGCGUCUCAAAUGACACUCUAUUCCCCACUCUGUUGUAGUGCACUAUAUAGGGAAUAGGUGGCUAUUAGGUCUUGGAUCAUAGUAGUGCACUAUAUAGGGAAUAGGUUGCCAUUUGCAACACCCCUGCUGAUUGGGUGAUGUGGCUCUGACAGGCCCUGGUGCUGUGCCACACAGGAUUACUGUGACAGGCGGCUGUGUCAGGGACUUAGCUGCAUUAGUUCACUCCACUCGUUAAAGGUUUAUUUCAGGACUGGAGACUCCAUGUUAAGCAGCUCAGACGACACAGUGACAGGCGCUGGCGCGUUACACCACUGUGUUGAUGUCUGCCAUGCUUACCUCACCUGGGACCAGAACACAUGACUGGGAGUAGAGACAAAACUGAGAAAGACAACAUUUUGCAAACAACUGCAAUGGAAUAGAUUGACUGUUUGUUUUUUUUAACGUAAGGUUAUGCAUGCCGGCGUCUGCUACACAAAGAUAGACGAAGUUAAAACGACACAACGGGACACAAUGUGAUAGUCUAAGAUUAUUGUUGAAACGUACAAAUGCAUUUAAAAAGAAUAUAUGCACGCAUGACUGUCAACCUGUCUGCUAAAUGGCAUAUUAUAUUAGAACUAAAAAACAAACACAUUCAAGACACCAAACAUUAUUAGGUUAAAUCUAGUUUACUCCAGACUAUAUGGGGAUGUAAUGUAAUGUAAUGUAAGACUAUGUAACAUAGGGAGCAUUGGUCAUUCACAAACUUCCUCUGUGGGAUUCAGUGUUUAAAGGAAGUGGUUUUCGCCACUUCCUUUAAAAAGGGAUGAUCCUGCUUCUUUAAGUUCUGUCUCCACAGUAAGUAUCUACAGAGAAUAGUUCUUCACAGAAAGAUUGGUGGCUAUACUGUGAAGAGGUUACAUCAAGGCUUUUGUCUUCAGAUUUGAAAUUGAACCAUGUUCCCUACAUAGUGCACUAAAUAGGGAAUCGGGUGUAAUUUGGGACACAAUCCUAAAACUCCUCAGGAACCAAAAGUGACACAAUAAAUCUACUUGGUCAGAACAACACAACAACCUCCAUAGCAUGAAAUGUCUUGGCUGAAUAAAACCUGGGUUCAGUCACUAUAUGAAAUCAUUUCCAAUACUUUAUCCUGGCUCGAUUGAGAUUGCCUUAACUGUAUACUGUAAAAAAAAAAAAGUUUAAAAAACUGUCUACCCUGCCCAUCUGGCACUCCAGGCAGGUUAAAGUAUUUUAAAGAUUUCAAAUAGUAUUUGAACCCAGGUGUGGUAAGAGUAUUGCUCUUUUUUGAAGCCUCAUCCUUUUACAGCUGUACGGGCACAGCGGCAUGCUGAGAAUCACACCAUUUCCAGGUAAGGACAGUGGAGUCAGAUUGAAGAGCUGCUGCCUGACAGAACACCUUGCUGUAUUUAUUACAGUGCUGGAGGGAUACAUAAGGGAAACUUCUAGAAGUAAAGCUAUUGGCUAUAAAAAAAAUAUUUUUAAAAUCGGCAUUACAUUAACAUGACUAGAACCUUUAAAUUUGGUCCACUUUUAAGUUGAUCUCUGGUCGUAUUACCUUCAAAUCACUCAGCAUGAACAUGGCAUUAAGAGCGCUGUGGUAUUUGUAUUACAACGUAGGUCACUGAGUGUCCUACGUCUAGUCAAUCAUGAGACAUCCUUCAAGCUAAUAGCAGGUGCCUCUCCCCAAAGUCUAUUUGAAUGGAGUCAGCCACCAUACUGCUAUUGACAAGCUACAUUGGACCCAUGGUUUCCCAAGCCAGCUAAAUAAACCAUUAACAUUAAGUUCACCACCUUGUACAAAUACCAUUCUUCCCAAUGUGAAACCUACUGCAAUGAGAGUGCAUGAUGAUGAUGUUGUUUGGAUAUAGCAUGUACCAUAGAAUUAGAAUGUGAGAAUGGAACAUUCUAAUUCCAUGGCCUGUACAGUAGUGUAACCAUAGAAUUAGAAUGUGAGAAUGGAACAUUCUAAUUCCAUGGCCUGUACAGUAAUGUAACCAUAGAAUUAGAAUGUGAGAAUGGAACAUUCUAAUUCCAUGGCCUGUACAGUAGUGUAACCAUAGAAUUAGAAUGUGAGAAUGGAACAUUCUAAUUCCAUGGCCUGUACAGUAGUGUAACCAUAGAAUUAGAAUGUGAGAAUGGAACAUUCUAAUUCCAUGGUCUGUACAGUAGUGUAACCAUAGAAUUAGAAUGUGAGAAUGGAACAUUCUAAUUCCAUGGCCUGUACAGUAGUGUAACCAUAGAAUUAGAAUGUGAGAAUGGAACAUUCUAAUUCCAUGGCCUGUACAGUAGUGUAACCAUAGAAUUAGAAUGUGAGAAUGGAACAUUCUAAUUCCAUGGUCUGUACAGUAGUGUAACCGUAGAAUUAGAAUGUGAGAAUGGAACAUUCUAAUUCCAUGGCCUGUACAGUAGUGUAA
ensembl:lncRNA